ACGGUGCUCGUCCUUAGAAGAAGGACAUGAGAGCCGUAGGUCCGCUGCAUUUCGUCGAGCUUUCCACAUCGUUCACGGGCAGCAGACAUCUCUGCCUCGCAGUUUCGCCGUCCCUCCCAGCUAGUAGAGUUCUCCACUUCUAUAUAAUUAAACAGCUCGUCCGGUAAGAAGAAGAGAACGACGCACGCAGCCAACCACCACACCUCCUUCUUCCUUCUCUGGAUAUCAUUCACACCACCUCGCUCCCCUUCAUCCCAUCAUCACCUGCCUACCUUAGGUCUUGUCUGAUCACCAUCAGUUGGUGGGUGUGAUUAUUCGCAGGGCGCACGCUGCUGAGAUCAGCUUGUGACCACUGUCCUCUCUAAUGGGGGAAAUGGUGGCUUCGACUCUUGCUCAGGAGGGCGUGAGCAGGGUGUUCUCGUCCAUCUCAACCAAGCUCGAUGACAGGGCGUCCAGAGCUCACAACGUCGCGAGGCUCGAGAUGGCACUCUCUCGCUUGGAGUUUGUCCUUGAGUGGGCCAGGAAGCGGCCAAUCACAUACGUCUCCCUCAUCCGUCGCUGGGGCAUGUUCAGUCGCGCCUACAACGAGGGAGUUGAUCUGCUCAACAAGCACAAGCUGCCAGCAGCGCUCGAAGGCCACGCAGAAACUGGGCAAGUGGUGGUAAGGAGUUCCUACUACUACCUCCAACGGAUUGCUGGUGCUGCAUAUUUCUCCCUCUCUUCUCUUGCUGGCCUUAACAAGCAGUGCUUGAGCUCAUCCGUUGUCCAAAUCUUUGAGGGGUACGCAGACAGUGCUGACAAGUUUGUAGCGGACGUGGAGUCCGCCUGCCCACUCCGGCGCGACACCUUCUUCCCCUACCCAUUUGUCAGGAAACUUCUCCAAGGGAGACGUCUCAUCUACCAUAAGAGGGUGAAAGGAAGCCAAGUGCUCUGGUUUGAUAUAUGUCCUGUGGUUUCGGAAGGGCGUGGCGUGGAGGCAUAUCUACCAUAUCUAUGGUUUCGAUCCCGAGAGGCUAGAUAAAAGUUUCAGCCUAUUCUUAUUGCUACGGCUGUCGGAAAGCACGGACAUAGUUGGGACUGCUAUAGAUUGCGUGCAGUCAUCCGCAUCACUGCUCAACCUUCCAGCUCAAGAUGCAAUAAUUGGACAUCUCACCCAAGUGCGUAAUUUACAGGAGAUUUCAGAUUCGUAUGCUCC